GAUGAACGCUGGCGGCGUGCCUAAUACAUGCAAGUCGAGCGAAGCGGGGAGGGUGGCGUAACACGUAGAUACCCUCCUAUACGACUGGGAUAAAUUCGGGUAACCGGUGGAAAACCGGCUACUUAUAUGUCGUUCAGCGAUGCAUUAGCUCGUUGGUAAGGUAACGGCUAACCAAGGCAACGAGGCAUAGCCGACCUGAGAGGGGGAUCGGCCACACUGGAACUGAGACACGGUCCAGACUCCUACGGGAGGCAGCAGUAGGGAAUCUUCCGCAAUGGGCGAAAGUCUGACGGAGCAACGCCGCGUGAGUGAUGAAGGUUUUCGGAUCGUAAAACUCUGUUAUUAGGGAAGCGGUACCUAAUCAGAAAGCCACGGCUAACUACGUGCCAGCAGCCGCGGUAAUAC
rnacentral:rRNA from 1 species